rnacentral:rRNA from 1 species
UACGUAGGGUGCGAGCGUUGUCCGGAAUUACUGGGCGUAAAGAGCUCGUAGGUGGUUUGUCGCGUUGUUCGUGAAAACUCACAGCUCAACUGUGGGCGUGCGGGCGAUACGGGCAGACUAGAGUACUGCAGGGGAGACUGGAAUUCCUGGUGUAGCGGUGGAAUGCGCAGAUAUCAGGAGGAACACCGGUGGCGAAGGCGGGUCUCUGGGACGGUACUGACGCUGAGACGCGAAAGCGUGGGGAGCGAACAGG